AGAAACCUCAAAUAAGCUUUCAUGUGUCUGUAUCCUUGAAGUGAGACCUGUUUCUUGGAACAGGUCUUAGGAACUGCAAAAAUUCUACAUUUAUUGAGAUUGUAAGAGUCUAACAGUAUUUCCAUCCAGAUAGACCAGACACAUGAAGUUUGAUGAAUUUCUUAAUAAAAUGGAUGGUGAAUAAAGAA